rnacentral:rRNA from 1 species
CGGAGGGUGCAAGCGUUAUCCGGAUUCACUGGGUUUAAAGGGUGCGUAGGUGGGCAGGUAAGUCAGUGGUGAAAUCUCCGGGCUUAACUCGGAAACUGCCAUUGAUACUAUCUGUCUUGAAUACCGUGGAGGUCAGCGGAAUAUGCCAUGUAGCGGUGAAAUGCUUAGAUAUGACAUAGAACACCAAUUGCGAAGGCAGCUGGCUACACGAAUAUUGACACUGAUGCACGAAAGCGUGGGGAUCAAACAGGAUUAGAUACCCUGGUAGUCCACGCCCUAAACGAUGGAUACUCGACAUACGCGAUACACAGUGUGUGUCUGAGCGAAAGCAUUAAGUAUCCCACCUGGGAAGUACGAUCGCAAGAUUG